GCCCCCGUAGCGUAAUGGAUAGCGUGCAGACCUUCGGAGUCUGCGGUGAGGGUUCAACUCCUUCCGGGGGCA
rnacentral:tRNA from 1 species